rnacentral:rRNA from 1 species
UGCGUAGGUGGCGGGGUAAGUUUGAUGUGAAAGCUCCGAGCUUAACUCGGAAAUUGCAUUGAAUACUAUCCUGCUCGAGGGCUGAAGGGGGGACUGGAAUUCUCGGUGUAGCAGUGAAAUGCGUAGAUAUCGAGAGGAACACCAGUGGCGAAGGCGAGUCCCUGGACAACUCCUGACACUGAGGCACGAAAGCUAGGGAGCAAACA